UGACGCGGUGAAUACGUUCCCGGGCCUUGUACACACCGCCCGUCAAGCCAUGGAAGUUGGGGUACCUAAAGUACGUAACCGCAAGGAGCGUCCUAGGGUAAAACCGAUAACUGGGCU
rnacentral:rRNA from 1 species